rnacentral:rRNA from 1 species
UACGGAGGAUCCAAGCGUUAUCCGGAUUUACUGGGUUUAAAGGGAGCGUAGGUUGACAUAUAAGUCAGCUGUGAAAGUUUACGGCUCAACCGUGAAAUUGCAGUUGAUACUGUAUGUCUUGAGUGUACAAGAGGUGGGCGGAAUUCGUGGUGUAGUGGUGAAAUGCUUAGAUAUCACGAAGAACUCCAAUUGCGAAGGCAGCUCACUGGGGUACAACUGACACUGAGGCUCGAAAGUGUGGGUAUCAAACAGGAUUAGAUACCCUGGUAGUCCACACAGUAAACGAUGAAUACUCGCUGUUUGCGAUAUACAGUAAGCGGCCAAGCGAAAGCAUUAAGUAUUCCACCUGGGGAGUACGCCGGCAACGGUGA